ACGGAAGCCCAUAAGUGCCAUUUUGUCUUAGGACUUUUGUCUUAUGACUAAUGACUUGUGUAUUAUGACUUUUGUCUUAUGUAUUAUGACUUGACAAAAAAGCGGAAAAAGGGCAAGUUUCAUCACAUGCACCCUUCAUGGACGUUGGAGGUAAAUCUGAUAGUGAAACAGAAGACGAUUUGGUAAAUGCGAGUAGUAAACAAUGCGAGUAGUAAACGUAUUCAUGCACUAGUUCAGAACAUAGCAGGCCACUAAGAAGAAAAAAGACCCAGGAACAUUGAAAAAGAUUAACUUAUGGAGAUCCAUUGAUGGUAAACAUGUUGGACAUUCAUCUUCUACCUGUGACUCUCUUUACAAAGGAAAAUACAAGAAAUUGAUUUAUGAUUUAUCAGACAAGUACAAAGGCAAAUGUGCCGAAUGAUGAUAUUUUAUCAAAUUGCAGAGUACAGUAGGAGAACAAAAAGUAACAAAGAAGACUGCUUUGAUAUCACAAGUGAAUAUGUUGGCGUUCCAUAGCUUUUGGUUUUGUCUUUGGAUACAACAGGUUAACUCUGUAUUAGGAGUGACACCUUCAAACAUACCAGACACAUCGACAGCAGGAAGUACACGGCUUGAAUUAGUGAAACACUAUUUUUACUGUGGGUUUUCAUAUCCGGAAAUUAUUCUUUUGUUGUUUGUUAUAAAUAACAUUAAAAUAUCGUUGCGACAGCUUAAUAGAGUACUUAAAUGUAACAACUUACGACGUCGAACUGGAUACACACCAGAUCACAUUGUUCUUGAUUAUAUUUCCAAGGAAAUUGAGACAAGUGGUCAGUGCAUUGGUUAUCGUUCGAUGUGGAAACGCUUGACAAAUGAACAUAAAUUAAGAGUUCCUAGAAAUAAAGUUCUUUCAUUUAUGAAAACUAUUGAUCCUGACGGAAUUAAUUUUCGGAAAGCCCACAGAAUUAAAAGACGCAAGUACAGAAUAAAGGGGCCAAAUUAUGUAUGGCACGUAGACGGUUACGAUAAACUGAAACCAUAUGGCUUUUGUAUACACGGUGCUAUUGAUGGUUACAGUAGAAGGAUACUUUGGCUAGAAGUGUCACAAAGUAACAACAACCCUGCAGUCAUCGCUAUGUAUUAUCUUGAAGCGCUGAAGACGCUUCGGGUUGUUCCCCGAAUUCUUCGUUGUGAUAAGGGAACGGAAAAUUCAACUCUGUCUUUGCUCCAACCGUUCUUCCGGUACAAUGAUACAGAUAGUAUAUCGAGACUUAGAAGUUUUAUAUACGGAAAAACGUUUCAAAUCAACGAAUAGAGGCCUGGUGGGGAACUAUGAGACGCCAAGGAAUUCAAUGGUGGAUUUCCUUUUUCAAAGAUUUAAAGGACAAUCAAGAGUAUGAUGAAUUAAAUCCUUUACAUGUUGAAUGCUUGAAAUUCUCUUUUAUGCACUUGAUUCAGGCCGAGCUUGACAGAAUAGCGGUUAAUUGGAACUUACAUUCCAUACGUAAACAGAAAUUCUGAGGUACCAAAUGGAAAACCCGAUUUAAUGUACUUCGUUCCGGAAUUGUUUGGCGGACACAAUUAUGGAAAGAUUGUAGAUCAAAAUGAUGUUGUGAAAUGUACGGCUUACGUAGGACAACAUGCAUUAUAGAAUUUCAAGAUUUGGUAAAAUUACUAAAGCCUGACAUCCGCAUUCCCAAGGAUGUACAAGAUGCUCUAGAACUAUACAGGGAACUACUGGAACUUAUUGAUGAAGCCAUGGAAUAAUUUCUCUCAUAUAUGUGCUCUGAAUAAAUUCUCUUCAAGUAUCAGAUAUUUAAUAUAAUUCAUUAAGAUCGUUUGCGGAACAAGUUCUUGCCAAGGUUUUUUUUAAUCAAAACCCUAGAACCAACCAGUACUGGUGUCAUAUGAAGAAACAUGGAGAUGGCUCGAGUAGGACUCGAACCCAUAGUCCUUAGGUUGAGGGGCAGACACAUUAACCAAGAGGCCACCGCUCCUCUUUCCCCUUGUUUAAAAGAAAUGGAUU